GACGAACGCUGGCGGCGUGCUUAACACAUGCAAGUCGAACGGAGUGGCGAGCGCGUGAGUAACACGUGGGUGAUCUGCCUUGCACUUCGGGUUAAGCUUGGGAAACUGGGUCUAAUACCGGAUUGUGCAAGAUGAGCUCGCGUCCUAUCAGCUUGUUGGUGGGGUAAUUGCCUACCACGGCGUCGCCGGGUAGCCGGCCUGUGAGGGUGUACGGCCACAUUGGGACUGAGAUACGGACCAGACUCCUACGGGGGGCAGCAGUGGGGAAUAUUGCACAAUGGGUGGAAGCCUGAUGGAGCGACGCCGCGUGGGGGAUGAAGGCUUGCGGGUUGGAAACUCCUUUCGACAGGGACGCGGUACCUGUAUAAGAAGCACCGGCUAACUACGUGCCAGCAGCCGCGGUAAUAC
rnacentral:rRNA from 1 species